rnacentral:rRNA from 1 species
GACGAACGCUGGCGGCGUGCCUAAUACAUGCAAGUCGAACGGUCUUUUCUAUGGAAGCUUGCUUCCACUGAGAAGAUAGUGGCGGACGGGUGAGUAACACGUGGGUAACCUGCCCAUAAGAGGGGGAUAACAUCCGGAAACGGGUGCUAAUACCGCAUAGUUUUCUUGAUCGCAUGAUCGAGAAAGGAAAGACGGCCUUUGUGCUGUCGCUUAUGGAUGGACCCGCGGCGUAUUAGUUAGUUGGUUGAGGUAAUGGCUCACCAAGACGAUGAUACGUAGCCGACCUGAGAGGGUGAUCGGCCACAUUGGGACUGAGACACGGCCCAAACUCCUACGGGAGGCAGCAGUAGGGAAUCUUCCGCAAUGGACGAAAGUCUGACGGAGCAACGCCGCGUGAGUGAAGAAGUUUUCGGAUCGUAAAACUCUGUGUCAGAGAAGAACAAGUUGGAGAGUAACUGCUCCAGCCUUGACGGUAUCUGACCAGAAAGCCACGCUAACUACG